rnacentral:rRNA from 1 species
UACGUAGGUGACAAGCGUUGUCCGGAUUUACUGGGCGUAAAGAGCGCGCAGGCGGUCGUCAAGUCGAGUGUGAAAGCCCCGGCUCAACUGGGGAGGGUCAUUCGAUACUGCCGUGACUAGAGUUCGGUAGGGGAGUGGGGAAUUCCUAGUGUAGCGGUGAAAUGCGCAGAUAUUAGGAGGAACACCGGUGGCGAAGGCGCCACUCUGGGCCGAAACUGACGCUGAGGAGCGAAAGCGUGGGUAGCAAACAGG